rnacentral:rRNA from 1 species
UGCAAAUGUGAGUGAAAGAGACUCGUUCUCGACACUGUGGAUAGACUAAGUAAAAAAGGGAAAAGAAAAAGAGUUGAUGAAGAUGGAUAACGAAAGGAAAACUUUCGAUAAUACAAGACGGGAAAGAGAGCGGAGAAGGAGGGAGUAAUAGUCUUCGCUAGAAAAGGGUGAGUGAUCACCCGAAACUCUAUUCGACCUUUAUGUAUCAAAAAGAUGGGUGUGUAAGGGAGAGCAAUGUUGAUGACGCAUACGGAGAAUAAGGGUUCGAUUCCGGAGAGGGAGCAAGAGAGAUUGCUACUACUUCUAUGGAAGGCAGCAGGCGCGAAAAUUGCCCAAUCGGAAAUACCGGAGGCAGUGAAAAGGAAUAAGAAUGACAAAGGAAGCAAUUCCGAGUCAAUUCAAAUGAGUUAGAUGAAAAAUAGCAAACGAGAAGCAAGUGGAGGGCAAGUCUGGUGCCAGCAGCCGCGGUAAUACCAGCUCCACUAGCAUGUUAAAGUUGCUGCAGUUAAAACGCUCGUAGUUGG